GACGAACGCUGGCGGCGUGGAUUAGGCAUGCAAGUCGAACGAGAAAGGGUUCGCAAGAACCCGAGUAAAGUGGCGAAAGGGUGAGCAUUACCUAGGUAACCUGCCCUGAAGACGGGGAUAACAGUUCUAACGGACUGCUAAUACCCGAUAUGUCGGCGAGGUCGCAUGAACUUGUCGGCAAACGGUAGCCUCUGUUUACAAGCUUCCGCUUCGGGAGGGGCCUCGGGCCUAUCAGUUAGUUGGCGGGGUAAAGCCCACCAAGACUGGGACGGGUAGCCGGUCUGAGAGGAUGGUCGGCCACACUGGGACUGAGACACUGCCCAGACUCCUACGGGAGGCUGCAGUCGAGGAUCUUCUGCAAGUGGGCGCAAGCCUGACAGAGCGACGCCG
rnacentral:rRNA from 1 species